CGAUUUUUUUGUUCUGUAAAAGGGUUGGAUCCGACGCCUUUUGGAGGCUGCCAUAGCCUCUCCUUCUCAACUCCUACUCAAUACGUCCACGACGUGCAGAACGGUAACUUGUCGCCUAGAUCCAAGCUUGGGUACACGGGGAAACCCAACCCCUUGGGCGGAUGGGCGGCAAGGCAGAAUUGAGAGGU
rnacentral:ribozyme from 1 species